GUUUCAUCCAAAUACUCUUCUACAGCUAUGCAUAUUCGAUGACUCAAUAUUUGAUGACUCAAUUGUGAAGAACAAUAAAAAUAAUGUGUCCCUCUAUAAAGUUGUAUUUCCUCCAAAACUUGAACAGCCUACACUCGCAGUCAUUGGUUUAGUCCGCUCUUUAGGGGGAAUCCCACCAACUACUGAUGUACAGACUAGUUGGGAUGUCAGUGUUAUUCAGGGUAAGUGGAUAAAUGCGAUUAACAUUUAAU